rnacentral:rRNA from 1 species
AGGGUUUGAUCAUGGCUCAGGAUGAACGCUGGCGGCGUGCCUAACACAUGCAAGUCGAGCGAUUUACUUCGGUAAAGAGCGGCGGACUGGUGAGUAACGCGUGGGUAACCUGCCCUGUACACACGGAUAACAUACCGAAAGGUAUGCUAAUACGAGAUAAUAUGCUUUUAUCGCAUGGUAGAAGUAUCAAAGCUCCGGCGGUACAGGAUGGACCCGCGUCUGAUUAGCUAGUUGGUAAGGUAACGGCUUACCAAGGCGACGAUCAGUAGCCGACCUGAGAGGGUGAUCGGCCACAUUGGAACUGAGACACGGUCCAA